rnacentral:rRNA from 1 species
AGAGUUUGAUCAUGGCUCAGAUUGAACGCUGGCGGCAUGCCUUACACAUGCAAGUCGAGCGGCAGCGCGGGGGCAACCCUGGCGGCGAGCGGCGAACGGGUGAGUAAUGCAUCGGAACGUGUCCUCUUGUGGGGGAUAACCAGUCGAAAGACUGGCUAAUACCGCAUGAGAUCGAGAGAUGAAAGCAGGGGACCGCAAGGCCUUGCGCGAGAGGAGCGGCCGAUGCCGGAUUAGCUAGUUGGUGGGGUAACGGCCUACCAAGGCGACGAUCCGUAGCUGGUCUGAGAGGACGACCAGCCACACUGGGACUGAGACACGGCCCAGACUCCUACGGGAGGCAGCAGUGGGGAAUUUUGGACAAUGGGGGCAACCCUGAUCCAGCCAUGCCGCGUGUGUGAAGAAGGCCUUCGGGUUGUAAAGCACUUUCGGACGGAACGAAAUCGCGCGAGUUAAUAGUUCGCGUGGAUGACGGUACCGUAAGAAGAAGCACCGGCUAACUACGUGCCAGCAGCCGCGGUAAUACGUAGGGUGCGAGCGUUAAUCAGAAUUACUGGGCGUAAAGUGUGCGCAGGCGGCGCUGCAAGUCGAGUGUGAAAUCCCCGAGCUUAACUUGGGAAUUGCGCUCGAAACUACGGCGCUGGAGUAUGGCAGAGGAAGGUGGAAUUCCACGUAGCGGUGAAAUGCGUAGAGAUGUGGAGGAACACCGAUGGCGAAGGCAGCCUUCUGGGCCAAUACUGACGCUCAUGCACGAAAGCGUGGGGAGCAAACAGGAUUAGAUACCCUAGUAGUCC